UGGCUCAGAACGAACGCUGGCGGCAGGCCUAACACAUGCAAGUCGAGCGCCGUAGCAAUACGGAGCGGCAGACGGGAGAGUAACACGUGGGAACGUGCCCUUUGGUUCGGAACAACACAGGGAAACUUGUGCUAAUACCGGAUAAGCCCUUACGGGGAAAGAUUUAUCGCCGAAAGAUCGGCCCGCGUCUGAUUAGCUAGUUGGUGAGGUAAUGGCUCACCAAGGCGACGAUCAGUAGCUGGUCUGAGAGGAUGAUCAGCCACAUUGGGACUGAGACACGGCCCAAACUCCUACGGGAGGCAGCAGUGGGAUCUUGG
rnacentral:rRNA from 2 species